CAGUCGCCGCGGGAAUACGGAGGGUGCAAGCGUUAAUCGGAAUUACUGGGCGUAAAGCGCACGCAGGCGGUCUGUCAAGUCAGAUGUGAAAUCCCCGGCUUAACCUGGGAACUGCAUUUGAAACUGGCAGGCUAGAGUCUUGUAGAGGGGGGUAGAAUUCCAGGUGUAGCGGUGAAAUGCGUAGAGAUCUGGAGGAAUACCGGUGGCGAAGGCGGCCCCCUGGACAAAGACUGACGCUCAGGUGCGAAAGCGUGGGGAGCAAACAGGAUUAGAUACCCCGGUAGUCCCUGUCUCUUAUACA
rnacentral:rRNA from 1 species